AAACGUUCCAUUUAAAUUGAGAUAUUUUGUAUUUGUCGUUCCACAUUUAUAAGACCUACGCGUAUUUUGUACACUAACUUGCGUAUUUUUGGAUAAAUUUACUUGGACUUUUACACAGUUAUUAAGAAAAACUUUCAGAUUAUCAUUCCAGAAUCAUGGGACUUUCACCUUUAGAUUUAAGAUUGUUUGAAAAGCGUAUAAUGACUGGUGUAUGAGAAGAUUUGUGUAAACGCUGUCUUGUAGAUAUGUACAAACAUCUUUCGAUAGUUCUUACCCUGGUGAUGUUUAUAGACUUAUCCUCUGGAUCUAUAUAUUGGAAGGUGGUUACUACACCGGCAAGGUUCGGAGGAGAUUUAAAAUUACAAUGUUAUCUAGAUAAGACUACGUCACUUUCAAGAACCAGACAAUGGUGCAAAGGAAAAUAUUCAACUAUCUUGGUUAUGAAUGGAAAAGCAUCAGACCCAACUAAAUAUUCAGAGACUUUAGACCAAACCAAACGUAUUUCCGUUUUAACAAUAUCGGCAUUUGACCCUUCUGAUCUUAAUGUGCAAUAUACAUGUCAACAUGGUUUUUUUAUGUAUAAGAACUGGUUAAAUAUGUCCAUAGAGGAUUUCGGAAACCAACCUACACCACAAAAUUCAGAGAAGGAUCAAACUCUUGGAAUUGUUGGACACAUCGUGUUCACAUUAAUGUCCAUUUGGUACCUCAUACUGUUUCCGUUAACAAUCGCUCUUUAUAAGUAUUUUAACCGAUAAUUCAUUAACUGUCUCCGAAAAACAGUUGUUUAGUCAGCGUCCAUGUGUAUGUUCAAAUUUCCCAGUAUGAAUAAAAAUUGUCAAAAUGAAGUUAGAAAAAUUUCGAAAGAAAAACUGUACACUGAUUACGUUAUUUUAUUGUUCGAUUAACGAUACAUUUUAUAUUGAAUAAUAUUGUAAAAAGAUUCAAAAAAAAGAAAUGUAACUUUUUUUGGUGAUUGAGAUAUGAUGGGAGUCCUUAUCUGACAUUCUAAAUUUAAGAAUAUUCUUCAUGCCUUCGAUGGUUGACAUCUUUACCUGGAGUGCCAGAUACGCAUUCAAAAUGAAAUUGUUAUCAUAAUAAAAUGGCAUAUUGUAGGAGGAAUUUUUCAGAAGUCAUUAGAAAGAUCAUACUGAAAAUGAUAGCCUUUAGUAUUUAAGCAUUGUUUUGAAACUGACAUAAAUUAUAACAACUCUUGAAAAGCAAUUCCUAAUCUACUCCAAAAUCGAAGGGAGCUAGCUAUUACCAACCUCAUCAACACUAUGGAAAGUUACCUUAAAUGUUACACAUUUGGACCCAUAACACUGGAAUGACCUAUAAUAAAUUUUCAUAAUCAAAAUGAAGCUUUUAACAAUCCUAUCAGUUAUACAAAGUUUGAAGGAAAUUAAUCGACACAUACUCAAGUUAGUUAGAUAAAUGCAAAAUAAUGCUUAAAUUUUACGGUGAUAGUCAAAUUGCUUGCAAAUGACAAAACUGGAAAAAAAACAUUACUUCGAAAGGUAUGUUAUAUCAUUGUCAACAUAAAUGUAAUGAUUCAAGCAAAUUGAUCUACUUUUACUGAAGUUCCAAUAUUUAUCAAUUCAAACACCCUAUACAAGUUUCAUGAAGUUUGAUCAAAGCAUUAGAUAUCAUUUGUAAGACUUGAGAAUGGAUGGAAAGAUGAACGGAUUGAUUGACAGACAGAGAGAUAAAAAUUUUCAAAUAAAUUUGGCAUCCUUUUCGAAAAAUCUAUUUAACACAAUUUGAAAUACAGUCAGCAUCAAAAGACUACAUUUAACAAACAUGUUUUAGAAUGCUUCAUCUGAGCAAAAAAGUUAAAACAUUGUUUUAACGCGUCACGUAGUUAUUGCACAGGAACACUUUGAACUAAGAGCUUAAUUAAUAUUACCCUAAUUUUUCAUUUAUUUGUAUUUCUUUUUUCAGGGGGAGGGGGCUAUUUAGGUUAACUUUUAAUCAAUAAAUGAGCCACUGCGUAAAGCACAAACUUCUGAAAGUUUCUUCGAGGAAUCAUUGUCUAUAUUUAUGUUGUUAAUAUGUUGUAAUUUAAUAACUUAUUACUUUUUAUUUAUUAAAUUGACAUCAUGCAAGCCA